GGCUGGUUUGGGCGUGGAGGGCGAGCAGAGAAGGCACGGAGCCCCUUAGCCGUGCUGCAUGACGAAGGGGGGGAGCAGCUCCACUGCCCGGCCCCCCAGCAUUGAAGGCGGUGUCUCCGGGCGUAUGUGCACACCCACGUUCAUAACGGAAUUAGUCACGAGCCUCAAGGUAGAAGCCACCGGAGGAUGAGCGGACAAGAACAAUGUGGCCCCUCCACGCGGUGGGGGGUCAUUCGGCCUCAUAAAGGGAGAACGUUCCGACACCUGCUGCGACAGCACGGGUGCCCCUGCGGGACGCGACGCUGAGUGAAGUGAGCCGCCACGGAGGACAAGUACUGCGUGAUCCCGCUCAGAGGAGGGACGCGGCCCAGCCACAGUCGUAGAGGCACAGAAGGGACGCGGGGCGGGGGCCCGUGCUUCACGGGGACAGCGCUUCCGUUUGGGAAGGUGGAGAAGUCCCGGGGACGGACGGCCGUGGCGGUUUCGCUGGUGAAUGAGCCCCAUUCACCUAAAAGUGGUUCAGGUGGCACCUUUUACGGGAUGUGUGUUUCCACCACAAUUUAUAAAAGUGACCCUCAGAAACCCGACACCAACAGCAAAGGUACUUGGGACUCAACAGGGGGCGCUGUGCUAAUAGCCUCACCUGGCCCCGGCUGGCCCGCUCACCCUUGAAGCCACAGGGGGAGUAAUCCUGGCCGACGCCUCCGCCCCACAGCGCAUGUCCCUCCUCUGGGCUGCCGGCCACGUGGCUGUGGCUUGUCACGUGACCCAGUCACGUGACCUUAUGGUUCCGCGAGCUCCUGUCCGUGGCUCCUUCCAAGUCCGGCCUGGCUCUGGGUUCCCCGAAUGCACAGCGGAGGGCCUGCAAACCCCGGCUGGAGACACGGAGACAGGAGGUGAGGAAAGGAAACGCCUCCAGGGGCCCCGCUCAGCUCGGGCUGGCGGGCGAGGCCGGCACGGCCCCGCUCCUGCGCGACGCCGGGCCGCUGGCCGUGCGGACACUGCGCUUCUCAGCCUGGGGCACCGCAGCCAAACUGCUCCUACUCCCUCGGGAAGCACCUUCCACGGCCGCCUGCCGUGCGCACCUGCCGAAGGGAGCGGAGUUCGGGUUCAGGGGCGGUGGGUGUGUGUGAUCAGAGGAAGACACGGAGGCUGGGACAGGUGCAGGGACUCCCCCGGGGCCACACAGUCGGGGCGCAGGCGGCUUUCAGCCCCGCCGGUGCUGCCUCCCCAGGCCCUACGCGGGCGCUCCGGCCACGUGUCCUGUGUUCGGCUGUGCGCGGCACAACUUUGCCAGGGGGCUCCCCCGGGGGAGCAGACCGUGAGCGCUCACCCACCCUCGCCAGCCCCCAGCACACUGCUUGGCACAGACUCACUUCCCGAUUGGAUGCACGGGGCAGGGGGCAGGACAGUGACGAAACCAGUGAGCUGAGAUCCCCCCCUCAGGAAAGCCGGUUAAGCAUCAGGAUCCAGCCCCCUCCCCGCAAGAUUGUCACUCAGGAAUCUGCCUUUUAAGCAAGUGCCCGGGGCCGUUCUGGUGCCCAGGACCCAGACCGCCCUCUGAGAGGCCCAGAGACCAGAAGAGGGUCAUGGGGCAGGGCACUCGUCCCUUGCUCUGGGGGCAGCAGGGACAGCACUGAAGGUGUUGGAGCCUGGGCGGGAGCAGCCAUCCAGAACGGCGCUUGGCGAAGAUCGCUUCCUUGCCUCGUGAUGUCUUCCUCCUCUCUCUUUUUAUUUUUUUAUUUUUUCGUCACCGACACUGAUGAACAAGACAGAUUCAUGACAAACACCAGGCCGCAGCCUGGGGCUGCCGGUUCACUGCCCGGUGUUGCUGCCUCCCUGACAGCAGGCGGGCCGAAAUGCCCUUCCGAAAUGGCUUGUUAGCGCAGUUAGCCCUUUGUCCGGGGCUCUCCUCCGCCGUAAUUGGGCCUUUACUCUGCUGCACUUCCUGGCCACGGAACUGCGAGCUGCCAGGCAAGGCUGUGAAUCCGCAGAACGGACAGCGGGGCUCGUUCUUCCCAGGCAUCCCCGCCCCGCGGGCACCCGCGGGACCCCAGAAAGCAGGCAAGCAGGAGGGGGCCGCCCACGAGACAAGACGGGGUCUCCCCCCACCCCGCCCCGCCCCCGGGGCUUGGGCAGAACGCUCUUCCUUCGCUGCGUGUUCCUGCUGUCGCGCCGGGCUCGCCACCAACCCUGUUACCUCAAGGGGACAACGACAGCGGCUUCUAGCCUCGUGCCUCAUCGCCCUGCAUGGAUUUUAGAAGAAGGCUCGUCUGGAGGCACGUGGAGAAUAGCCCGCCAGAGGGGGGAGGAGCACUCCUACCCCCUCCCGAUGUUUUCCAACGCAGUGGAUUCUGGUCCUUUGUGUAGCUGAAGCCACGCUCACUUGGUCAAGUCCAGUUCACUCAUGGACCUUGGAGAGUGUGGGAGCCUCGGUACCCCAGAGAGCAUGAGAGAGUGGAGGAGGGGCAGAGGAAGAAGGAGAGAGAAUCCCCAGCAGGCCCCGUGCUGUCGGUGCAGAGCCCCAUGAGGGGCUCAAACUCAGGAACCGCGACAUCGUGACUUGAGCCGAGAUCGCCCCGCUGACCGGGCCCCCAGGUGCCCCCCAUCUGCCGUAUUUCCCGUGCAAGGCUGGCCACCCACCCCCUCUGGAACGAGCCCAAUGGGAGAGCGACUCUCACUGUCAAAAUGUUCCUUCUUGAGCUGAGCCUUGCGUGAGAUGUGGGGGGAACCAGGGUCUUUCCAAAUGUUUCCGUCGGGGCUUUUUCCUUGUGAGACACGGAGAUCGACGCGGGUGAACCCCCGGAGAGGCGUUUCGGGGGAGGCUGUGGUCGGGCCCCGUUAGCGUCUGGGACCCCUUUGUGGAAGCAGGUGUGUGCCACCGAGGCGAUGUCACCUUAUUAAAGGAUGAAUAACCGGCCUGUGA